CUUCACAACAACCAGGCCCUUGGGGGGAAUAUGGAGGUAAUGAACACGUCGGCCAAAGUUUAGCGAAAGUCCCAGUAUCGGGUUCGCAGGGCGACCCUCCUGCUAGGCGCCACAUCACAAGCCGACGUAAGCAACCAAAAUUGUCGGAAAUUUUGAAUAAACCACCAGUGGCUAAACCAUACGAAAUAGGUGAUAUCAGCAAUGCGCACAUAUAUAGCUUGGGUCAAAUACUGAGACAUGGUGCCUAUCUUGUUAUAGUCUGUGC